CAAGGAGUUUUCCGCAAUGGGCGCAAGCCUGACGGAGCAACGCCGCGUGGGGGAUGACGCCCUUCGGGGUGUAAACCCCUUUUCUUGGGGACGAAGCAGUGACGGUACCCGAGGAAGAAGGCCCGGCUAACUACGUGCCAGCAGCCGCGGUAAUACGUAGGGGCCGAGCGUUGUCCGGAGUUACUGGGCGUAAAGCGCGCGCAGGCGGCUCGUCAAGCCUGACGUGAAAGCCCCCGGCUCAACCGGGGAGGGUCGUCGGGGACUGGCGGGCUUGAGGUCGGCAGGGGUAGGUGGAAUUCCCGGUGUAGUGGUGAAAUGCGUAGAGAUCGGGAGGAACACCCGUGGCGAAGGCGGCCAACUGGGCCGGACCUGACGCUGAGGCGCGAAGGCGUGGGGAGCGAACG
rnacentral:rRNA from 1 species